CGGACGGGUGAGUAACGCGUGGGUAACCUACCCUGUACACACGGAUAACAUACCGAAAGGUAUGCUGAUACGGGAUAAUAUAUUUGAGAGGCAUCUCUUGAAUAUCAAAGGUGAGCCAGUACAGGAUGGACCCGCGUCUGAUUAGCUAGUUGGUAAGGUAACGGCUUACCAAGGCGACGAUCAGUAGCCGACCUGAGAGGGUGAUCGGCCACAUUGGAACUGAGACACGGUCCAA
rnacentral:rRNA from 1 species